AAGGCCUUAAGUUAAAAAAACUAGUAACCUUCAAAGCUAUAAAUAAAGAAUGUCUCUUUAGGCCUUA
rnacentral:tRNA from 1 species